GAUGAUGAUGAUGAUGAUGAUGAUGAUGAUGAUGAAGAUACAUGCAUGCAUCUACAUAUAUAUGGCAGCAGCUGAUAGACGUUUUCUCAAUUGCAGUUUCAUCACUUUUUUAUCGGGGGCCAGGACGAUAAACGUCACGGUCCCCCCACUGGGGGAAGUCAAGGACAGGCGCCAGAGAAUCGCUCCACAGCACCCUUCACCCAAGCACAAAGCAUUGGGUGGAGCAAGGCUCGAACACGCGACCUCCAUGAAACUCUUGGGGAUCCGGUACCACUAGGCCAUUAGGCCGGUGGUAACCCAUUGGCAAUUUGAAAAAAAAAAAGUUUAUUUUCCAUUAUCAAUAAACACUCCUUUUGAAUUGUGAAUAAUUGGAACAC